GAAAUAGAACAAGUUUCGUUGUCUUUCUUGUUGUUGGAAAUUAUGUCUUUGAGAGAUGGAGAAAUUAAGGCUCCUCAAGCUGACCAGGUGGCGGCUACCGCGAAGUCGUUGGGUACGGCGGAGCAACCACCGUGGAAGAUGAGAGAAAAUCCGGUGGUGAUCGUGAACCGCUGUCCCGUCGUCUCACCCUCCGGCGGAAUCUCGAUAACAGUCCUGCCUGGGUAUAUGCAAAUCCAAUAUAGCACUUUUUUCGUCUAGAACAGGUGCUCAUAAUGUAAAUACAUAUAAAUACGAAUGUAAUUUGUUGAACCAAGAAUUUGCUACAGGUUCACGUUAGUUUCCAAUCAUGGUUGAUAGUACUCAUGUGGCCAAGGAUCAAAGUAGUAUGACGUUGAGCUGAGACGAGCUAAUGUCGUUGGGCAUUCUUAAAAAGAGGAAGUUAUGCUCUAGUGCAAUUACAUACCGUUUUAAUAAAUAAUAUAUAGAAGGUAUUUUACGUAUUGAGUCCAUGUAAUUUGUAUAUAUGAUACCUUAGCAAAAGAUUUACUGAAUCCCGAUAAAGGGAGAACUAAAGUAAACGUGCUAAGUUAGAAUGUAAAGAUGUCGAUGGUAAUGAGAUACAACGCAACACUGUAACUUUAUACUAAGA